AUGUUUCCUGUAGCUGUGCUGCUGCUGUUGGCAGCUGGAUCAUAUGUGAAGUGUGAAACUUUGACGCAGCCAGCCUUUGUGACUGUGCAGCCAGGUCAACCUCUGACCAUAAGCUGCCAGGUCUCUUAUUCUCUUGGUAGCUACCGCACAGCUUGGAUCAGACAGCCUGCAGGAAAAGGACUGGAGUGGAUUGGAAGCGGUCGUGAUGGAUACACCACAUACUAUAAAGAUUCAUUAAAGAACAAGUUCAGUAUCGAAUUAGACACUUCCAGCAAAACAGUGACUCUAAAGGGACAGAACGUGCAGCCUGGAGACACUGCUGUGUAUUACUGUGCC